CGCCCAGACCUGGGAGAAGUCCUGGGAAGCUGCCAUGGGCCCCAGGCUCCUGUGCUGUGUGGCCCUUUGUCUCCUGGGAGCAGGCCCAGUGGACUCUGGAGUCACGCAGACCCCAAAACACCUGAUCACAGCAAGAAAACAGCAAGUGACGCUGAAGUGUUCCUAUAUCUCUGGACACCUGUCUGUGUAUUGGUACAAACAGGUUCACGGACAGGGUCCCGAUUUCCUCAUUCAGUACUACAAUGGGCAAGAACGACAAAAAGGGAACAUUCCCGAUAGAUUCUCAAUGAAGCAGUUUGGCAAUUAUAGCUCUGAGCUGACCGCAAGCUCGCUGGAGCUGAGCGACUCGGCCCUGUAUCUCUGCGCCAGCAGCCGUGACACAGCCCUGCAGGAGCGGCAGCCCCCUGCACAAAAACACUCCGCCCCACUCAGGAAGUGGCAGCUGCCAGCCAGACGGGCUCAGGCCUUCCCCAGACACCGUUCUGCUGCUUACAGAUGGGGUUUAGGUGAGCAGGCCUAG